UAAUGAAAGUAAAUAAAGGUAGUCUAUGGGUUUUGAGUAUGCACUUACUUGGCCAGAAUACCCAGGUUGAAAUCAUGUCUCUUAUGGGCUAUCUAACUUGGGGUACACUAGUUGCCUUGUUGUGCAGUGCUUGUGAUUAUUAAUAGCAAAACUGCACCACCACCACCAUCACCACCACCACCACCACCACCAACACCACUAACACUAUCAUAGUCAUCAUCCUCAUGAUUAUUUGCCUUUCAUGCGAUAUAUUUAAUUUUUACUCAAUUUUGAUAAUUGAGCAGGGCUCUAAUUGACUUAAAGGGGUGUGUAGCAUCAUUAAUGACCAAAGUGCAGCAUUUAAAAAUUGGAAUUCUUAUAGUUAACAGUUUUUACAUUAAUAUGAAGGAAAAUUUUUCGAUUUAAAUAAUCAUUAAAAUAUAGAUAUAGGACUGGUUUGUUUUCUACAAGAAGAAAUCUAGAUAUUUAUUUUAAUUCUAAAAAUUGAGUGAUAUACCCUGAAACUUGAAAAAGAAAUCAUGUUUCUUGCUAGAAAAUCAC
rnacentral:lncRNA from 1 species